rnacentral:rRNA from 1 species
UGAGCAAUCUGCCCUUCUCUUCGGAAUAAGCGUUGGAAACGACGUCUAAUGCCGAAUACGACCUCCUUUCGCAUGAUCGGAGGUGGAAAGCUCCGGCGGAGAAGGAUGAGCUCGCGGCCUAUCAGCUAGUUGGUGUGGGUAAUGGCCCACCAAGGCGACGAUGGGUAGCCGGCCUGAGAGGGUGACCGGCCACACUGGGACUGAGACACGGCCCAGACUCCGUACGGGAGCAG